rnacentral:rRNA from 1 species
UACGAAGGGGGCUAGCGUUGCUCGGAAUCACUGGGCGUAAAGCGCACGUAGGCGGCUUUUUAAGUCAGGGGUGAAAUCCUGGAGCUCAACUCCAGAACUGCCUUUGAUACUGAGAAGCUUGAGUCCGGGAGAGGUGAGUGGAACUGCGAGUGUAGAGGUGAAAUUCGUAGAUAUUCGCAAGAACACCAGUGGCGAAGGCGGCUCACCGGCCCGGUACUGACGCUGAGGUGCGAAAGCGUGGGGAGCAAACAGG